rnacentral:rRNA from 1 species
UACGUAGGUGGCAAGCGUUGUCCGGAUUUACUGGGCGUAAAGAGCGCGCAGGCGGUUGAUUAAGUCGAAUGUGAAAGCCCCCGGCUCAACUGGGGAGGGUCAUUCGAUACUGAUCAACUUGAAGGCAGGAGAGAGAAGUGGAAUUCCCGGUGUAGUGGUGAAAUGCGUAGAUAUCGGGAGGAACACCAGUGGCGAAGGCGACUUCUUGGCCUAUUCUUGACGCUGAGACACGAAAGCUUGGGUAGCAAACAUG